rnacentral:pre_miRNA from 1 species
AGGGGGAGCGCCGGAUCUUGGGCUGUGUCCCCCGUUGCCCUGGGCUCCGGGGCCUGCACCACUGGAAUCCCGCUCCCGGGUGGCACAGCCCCCU